AUUGAACGCUGGCGGCAUGCCUUACACAUGCAAGUCGAACGGCAGCACGGGAGCAAUCCUGGUGGCGAGUGGCGAACGGGUGAGUAAUAUAUCGGAACGUGCCCGGUCGUGGGGAUAACGUAGCGAAAGCUACGCUAAUACCGCAUACGAUCUACGGAUGAAAGCGGGGGAUCGCAAGACCUCGCGCGAUUGGAGCGGCCGAUAUCAGAUUAGGUAGUUGGUGAGGUAAAGGCUCACCAAGCCGACGAUCUGUAGCUGGUCUGAGAGGACGACCGGCCACACUGGGACUGAGACACGGCCCAGACUCCUACGGGAGGCAGCAGUGGGGGAAUUUUGGACAAUGGGCGCAAGCCUGAUCCAGCAAUGCCGCGUGCAGGAUGAAGGCCUCGG
rnacentral:rRNA from 1 species